CAAGAAACCGAAUCCGAAAUUUACUUGACGUCAGGAACCUCGAUUCGGGUUCCGUCGGUCGGACAUCGGAUGUUCUCGUAAAAAUUCUCAUAGUAAAGUGAGAACGUUGGAAGCGUAUAGUUUGUCAGUUGAGGUGCAGUGUGUGUGUUUUCAGUGCUCGACGUUCGUGUAUUUUCGUUAGUUAACGUAAAUAAACAAUGAAUGUGAAUGUUUUGUUUCGGUAGAGUCGCUUGGUUAGGGUCUGUACGGAAAAAGCGAGAUCCCUAACCGAGACGGUCGCGAAACGUGGAAGAAUGCGCGAGAGCGGUUAAUGCAAUGAACAACGGCCCGAGGCCUCCCGUGCCGGGCCUAAUUCCGAUAUCAGCAUUGCGUAAAAAAUCCGUGAACGAUUAUUACAACAGUCACCUGGACCAGGAUUCAUCCCCUCAGCGACUUGAUAGUGGUGGUGGUGGUGGUGGUGGCGGUGAUUCGGUUGUCGGAAAGGAGGUUAUGGGCGAGCAGCGCUCACGACGGACGGGAACGCAGGCUCCGGCUCCCGUCGACCUGAUCGAUACCGCGAGGUCACGUGGUCCCAGUGCUGGGCCGCAAGCGCCGAACAGGAAAACAAAGUCGGAACAGCGUCACCGUAAAUCAGAGAAAAGACGUGAACACAAAAGCGUACGUAAUAAACGUUCUUCUUCGUCCUCUGGUGGUAAACAAAAGUGGCGAUCUUCCGCAGAAAGACCCGUCAAUCCGCGAGUCAAUCCAAUUUUCGUGUGGGUGCGCCAAGAAGAUACACGCAUCGUGGACGUGAAAUGCGAGGAUUACGACAAAAGGAAUCGAAUCCUGCUGACCAAAACCGCUCAUGGUUGGCGCGCCAUCCCCCGCACCGAGACCUGGGUGCCCACUCUGAAGCAGUCGACUGACAACGAUAUGAAACGAGCGCGGAAAGCUCGUAAAUCGAAUAAAGUUAAAAGGAAAUCGACAGCUGUCCAAGUAGAGGACGACAUUGACGGUGAGGAAUCUCACGAUCCUACCAUACCUAGUUCUCCUACUUGGACUUCUUCUGGUGACGUAGAGUCUCAUUUACCUUCCCAUACUAUACACGUAAAUAGGCAUUGUUCCAGUUCUCCUGAACACCAUCAGGUAAUCGAACCUUCCAAUGACAAUUUACGACUCGAUGCUACCUCAAGCUACCCCGAUAAUAUUCAACCUAAUAAGAUGAGUGCAACCAGUCCUCUAGAUAAUUUAUUAGCCGUUGCUGAAUUUGAAUUUAAUCAGAAAAUACAAUCAGGCGAAUGGAAUGACACAAGUACAAUAGACACAUCGAUAUCGUCUCCCAUCAAAGAAGACGUCAGUGAAGAGAAAAUCCCAGAAAACCAAAAUACCGAACCGAAUCCUGUUGACUUCCUAAUUAAAUGUGACUUGGAAGAGAAAGAUACCCCUAAGAACGAUGGUCAGGAAAAGUACUAUAACGAUAAACGAAAAAGUGACGAAAUAGAUUACGACGAAGAAGAGGAAAAUAAUUUAGCUAUGACCGACAUAUUGGAUAGAUUGGAGCAGUCUCUCCGCACACCUGAGCCUAUAUCGCCAGAAAUACCAAUAGAGAAUCAGUGCUCAGUCAAGGAAUCACAGAAGGACGACGCAGAUGUUGAACAGGAGGAGGAAGAGGAAGACGACAAAGAAACAGAUAAUUGUACUAACGACAUUCAGUAUGACAUUCCAACGGAAAGCGAAGAAAAACCUCAAGAAGAAGAAGAACAAGAAGAAGCUACUGAAAUUAAGGAGAUCAGUGAACCAGAAAGUCCACAAAUUGAGAAAAUACCUGAAGAGCCAACAGAUUUAACGAUUCGAUCAUCUGCUACUUGCGAUGUUCAAGAAGAAGGCCCAAAAGAUUUGCGAACCACAAAAGUUCUUCAGAACAGUGUGGAUUACGAAAAAGCAACCCCAACCGAUCUACGAAUUUCGACCGACAAGGGAUUUGUUUGCUCCUCAAGCCCAAGGCCAUACUCAAGAAGUUCAGAAACGGUUCAGUCCCCUCAACCUAGCGGUCUACCUCCAGUUCCUCCAUCACCAGACGUAUUUCCCCCUUUCGGAAACGGAAAAAGUAAUCCUAAAUCAGUAUUUUUAGAAACAUUGCUUUCAUCCCCACAAAAAGAACUACAACCGCAAACAAAAAUUGAAAUGCAAAUGGAGCCUUUAGAUUUGGGGAAAUGUAGAAAAUCCGCUAGUCCAACGGUUACUUGCUCUGAAGAAGUAAACAAACGUACUUUCGCGGAAGCAGAUGAAUCUGAACCGAAAAAGAUUAAAGUAGAAGCCAUUACACUUAAGAAUAUACUAAGCGCAGAAACGGAAAAGUCUAAUGAGAAGGAUCAGAUAAAAGAAGACGCUAGCGGAAGUCCAUUUUUAGAGCAGUCAAAAUUACUUGAGCUUCUCAUUACGGACAGUGAAGCAGAUCCAGCUCUCCAAUUGAAACAGCUUCAACUUGAUCCUUCAGUUGAUUUGCCGGAUCCUCUUUUAAUACCUAAGGAGAAUUUAAGUCAAGUAUUAAUGUCACCUAAGAAGGAGAUACUUCGACUUCUUACUCAAAGACCAGAACUAAGACUUCCCGAUGCUCUCUCUUUUCCUCAUCUGUUGCAGGACCCAAAUAUAUUAGUAAUUACUUUAGCACAAUUGCAAACGAUUAUUCAAAAACAAAGCCAAGUGUUACCUCCUUCUUCUUGUGAAGAAAAGAUUAACAAGAAACCUGAUAAUUUUCAUAAGACGAUUUCCGACAAAAAGCCAAAACCAAAACAAGAAGAGAGGUCCAAGAAUGUAAAGUUAAACCCUUUAGUAGAGGAAUCAAGUCGAGUGAGAUGCAAUUCGCCCAAUAAAAAUUUUUCCCGUGUAGAAGAAACGAGAAAUGACAUGUACAGUAACGAAUCACUGAACCAAAUGAUGUGGUUGCCAUAUCUGCAGCAACUAGAAGCUGCAGCCAUAGCUUUUGGAGGAGGUUCAGAUAUUCUGAAGGGUUUUAAUUUUCCAUUUUUAUCAUUACCAGGAAACCAACUUCCUGGCAUGGGCCCUAUGAUUGCUGCAAAUAGAUUUCCUCCUCAUCCUCAGGCAUCAAUUCCCUUCCAACAACAUUUUGAUUACAACGCAUUAUUUGAAUAUCCUAAUUGGCAGGAAGCGUUGCACCAAGCAAAUUAUUUAAGGUCGAAAAAUCAGUUUGACCUUAAUACGAAAAGCAUGUACGGGGGGCAUCCAGAAAGGCAUCAUGACACAUUAAAACAACGAUCCCAUACGACAUCACAAAAACCAUAUUCAAUAAACAGGGGCUACAGUUCAUCGAUAAACAACAAAGGGAACGUUUUGGGGAAUUAUAACACGUCAUCGUCGUCGAGAGAACAAGGGAUGAGACCCAGUUUACAAAUUCCGCAAUAUCAUCCACCAAAUCCUCCAAAAAACCAAAUGCGAAAAAAUUCCGCCAGCUUUCUGAUGCAACCAGAGGUCGACUCAACGGUGCCACCAAAACAGUUGAUAAGAAAUAAUUACGACAGCGGUCAUAAAAACGUAUUCGCUCAGAACAUGUUCAGUCACCACUAUCCGGACGCUAGUACAAAUGAUAAAGUUGGUUCUCAUGAGAAAUCGUUACAACAAAAAAUGGUCACUUCGUAUGACGGUUCCAGAAAGGGAAAUUCAGAUUCGUCUAUGCAACCCAUUGAUUUGACAACAUCUCAGGUUACAAGCAAUAAAACUAGGGAUAGAAAUCAUUACGAAACCUCGAAACACCCGAAGCAUUUACCUAAACAGGACGAUGUGCCGGAAGUAGGAAGUACUACAGCCAGUUUAGAAGAAAUGACCGCACAUGCGCAGGACUCGCAGAAGUACUUGUGGCAUCCACUCUUUGGCAAUCAGAAGCCUUCCAGCAGUUCGUGGAAUUGGGCAACCCUGGCAGCAACAGGUGAAUAACAACGACUAAAACCUCCAGCCACAUGGAGGUUACCUUCUGAUUUUCUAGCAAAUGGUGGUUGUACAGGGUUGUCCUCUUGCGCUUAUAAGUAAGGAAAAUUAUAGGAAAAGCAGGAAAUAAAAAGAGGAAACUUAACGAAUGGACGGACGACUUCGCUUCGAGUCUGUGAACAGGCGUGAUCAUUAG
rnacentral:misc_RNA from 1 species